UGUUACGACUGGUGCCCACAUGCCAGCCUUGUGAUAGUCAGUACUUUUGUGGUGCCUAUGACAUGACUGCAACUUUUACAACUUGCACACAACUUAGGGAGCAAGCCUGGUCCUCUAGGUAUCAUUCCAAAGAAGAAAGUACCACAGUCCAGAGUUUUCUCACUGCUUCUGGUCCAAGUGUAUCUUCGUUUCACUCAACAGUCACAUGAGAACAAGUAUCCUGGAUGCCCUUCAUUCAUCCCAACCUCCACCAGUAAAUAGGAGCCUACAGAAGGUAUACACAAUGGUUUUUUUCCACACCAGUCUCCCUGGCUUUCCAUCUCUUCAAGGGAGCUUUAAAACCUCCAGGCCGAUUAUAUCAAUGUUUCAUCAGACUUCCAUUGUCC